CCUACGGGGUGCAGCAGUGAGGAAUAUUGGUCAAUGGACGAGAGUCUGAACCAGCCAAGUAGCGUGAAGGAUGACUGCCCUAUGGGUUGUAAACUUCUUUUAUAUGGGAAUAAAAUGUUCCACGUGUGGGAUUUUGUAUGUACCAUAUGAAUAAGGAUCGGCUAACUCCGUGCCAGCAGCCGCGGUAAUACGGAGGAUCCGAGCGUUAUCCGGAUUUAUUGGGUUUAAAGGGAGCGUAGGUGGAUUGUUAAGUCAGUUGUGAAAGUUUGCGGCUCAACCGUAAAAUUGCAGUUGAAACUGGCAGUCUUGAGUACAGUAGAGGUGGGCGGAAUUCGUGGUGUAGCGGUGAAAUGCUUAGAUAUCACGAAGAACUCCGAUUGCGAAGGCAGUUCACUGGACUGCAACUGACACUGAGGCUCGAAAGUGUGGGUAUCAAACAGGAUUAGUACCCCUGGUAGUC
rnacentral:rRNA from 1 species